rnacentral:rRNA from 1 species
UGCCAGCCGCCGCGGUAAUACGGAGGGUGCAAGCGUUAAUCGGAAUUACUGGGCGUAAAGCGCGCGUAGGCGGUUUGUUUAGUCAGAUGUGAAAGCCCCGGGCUCAACCUGGGAACUGCAUCUGAUACUGGCAGGCUAGAGUACAGGAGAGGGAAGUGGAAUUCCGAGUGUAGGGGUGAAAUCCGUAGAUAUUCGGAGGAACACCAGUGGCGAAGGCGGCUUUCUGGACCGAUACUGACGCUGAGACGCGAAAGCGUGGGGAGCAAACAGGAUUAGAUA